UCGUGGGACUCACGACUAUGAGAUUGCUUGCUUAAAGUCAACUUGAAAUUUUCAAACCGAAGUACGUAUAGAAAGUGCUUUAAUACCGAGGAAAAACUGUCAUUCAGAGCCGGCCAUCUUCUCUCAGACUCUCAAGGCCCGUUUUCAUUCUACCAUUGAUGGCAGGGAUGGCUUCAAAUGCCAAAGUUUAUGCCUUAGAAGAGGUGGCGAAGCACAAUAAUAAGGAGGACUGCUGGAUUGUUGUCUCUGGAAAGGUGUACGAUGUCACCCCAUUUCUGGACGAUCAUCCAGGAGGUGGUGAAGUUUUGGUAUCAUCCACGGAGAAGGAUGCCACAGAUGAGUUUGAAUUUGUCGGCCACAGUGAUUCUGCAAAGGAGAUGAUGAAAAAAUAUUAUAUUGGUGAGUUUGAUAAACCGGCUAUUCCAAUGAAAAAUAAGCACAGUCCUGCUCCCCAACAAAACCAUUCUCUAGUAUCUGCAAUGAAAAUCUUGCUAGUUCUGGUGCCGUUGUUGAUCUUGGGACUAGCUUUCGCACUGCAGUACUUCAGCAAAAAAGGGUAGUUCGACCUUUUUCAUCCAUGGAGUUUACGGCUGAGACAAAGGCUUGAGAACAAAUUAUUACUUAUAGGCUCUUAGUGCUUCUUCAAGGUGGCGUCAUACUAGGGUAUUUGGUGGGGUAUUGAAUGAUUAAUGCAGUUUUUGACUCCCCAUGCAUGAAUGUAACCUCUUUCCUUUCUAUUAUACUACUUUGAACAUGGACUCAAAAAGGGAUUAGAUGCAUAGCAUGCAUAUGAUGUGUAGGGAAAUA